GCAUAGCUCAGUUGGUUAAGAGUGCUGUGCUGAUAAAACACCAAGGCUGCAGGUUCAAUCCUGCUGCA